UACGUAGGGGGCAAGCGUUGUCCGGAGUUACUGGGCGUAAAGCGUGCGCAGGCGGUUUUGUAAGCCAGAUGUGAAAUCCCCGGGCUUAACCUGGGAACUGCAUUUGGGACUGCAAGGCUCGAGUACGGCAGAGGGAGGUGGAAUUCCACGUGUAGCAGUGAAAUGCGUAGAGAUGUGGAGGAACACCGAUGGCGAAGGCAGCCUCCUGGGCCAGUACUGACGCUCAUGCACGAAAGCGUGGGGAGCAAACAGG
rnacentral:rRNA from 1 species